rnacentral:rRNA from 1 species
AGCAGCAGUAGGGAAUCUUCCGCAAUGGACGAAAGUCUGACGGAGCAACGCCGCGUGAGAAAGAUUAGCUAAUACCGCAUACGAUCUACUUGUUAGGGAAGAACAAGUGCUAGUUGAAUGGAUGGCACUCUUGACGGUACCUAACCAGAAAGCCACGGCUAACUACGUGCCAGCAGCCGCGGUAAUACGUAGGUGGCAAGCGUUAUCCGGAAUUAUUGGGCGUAAAGCGCGCGCAGGUGGUUUCUUAAGUCUGAUGUGAAAGCCCACGGCUCAACCGUGGAGGGUCAUUGGAAACUGGGAGACUUGAGUGCAGAAGAGGAAAGUGGAAUUCCAUGUGUAGCGGUGAAAUGCGUAGAGAU